CACGUAGGGGGCGAGCGUUGUCCGGAUUUAUUGGGCGUAAAGAGCUCGUAGGCGGCUCAGUAAGUCGGGUGUGAAACCUCCAGGCUCAACCUGGAGACGCCACCUGAUACUGCUGUGGCUGGAGUCCGGUAGGGGAGCGUGGAAUUCCUGGUGUAGCGGUGAAAUGCGCAGAUAUCGGGAAGAACACCCGUGGCUAAGGCGGCUCUCUAGUACGGUACUGACGCUGAGACGCGAAAGCGUGGGGAGCGAACAGG
rnacentral:rRNA from 1 species